ACCAACUUGAAAAAGAAGACUGCUUUUCUUCUAACACCACUGGUUUCCUGAUCUCAUUGUGGACAUCCCAGAGUGGCCGGGAAUGAGUUUCCUGCUGGAGCCUCCCAUUGACUGAGCAUUUAGAAGCCAGUGGUCCAGGGAGUCUAUGAGGCAGUCCAUGGAGGUCAGGCUUGCAAGUAUAAAUCAAGCCAUCCAAGAAAUUUACUGAGGACCCACUAUGUGCCUAACAAGGUGCUUCGUAUUGGUGAUACAAAGAGAGGACACAGUGACCCAGCCUUCAAGAAUCUUUCAGCUUACUAAG